UAAACGAUGUCUACUUGAAGGUUGUGGCCUUGAGCCGUGGCUUUCGGAGCUAACGCGUUAAGUAGACCGCCUGGGGAGUACGGUCGCAAGAUUAAAACUCAAAUGAAUUGACGGGGGCCCGCACAAGCGGUGGAGCAUGUGGUUUAAUUCGAUGCAACGCGAAGAACCUUACCUACUCUUGACAUCCAGAGAAUUCGCUAGAGAUAGCUUAGUGCCUUCGGGAGCUCUGAGACAGGUGCUGCAUGGCUGUCGUCAGCUCGUGUUGUGAAAUGUUGGGUUAAGUCCCGCAACGAGCGCAACCCUUAUCCUUGUUUGCCAGCACGUAAUGGUGGGAACUCCAGGGAGACUGCCGGUGAUAAACCGGAGGAAGGUGGGGACGACGUUGAGUCAUCAUGGCCCUUACGAGUAGGGCUACACACGUGCUACAAUGGCGUAUACAGAGGGCUGCCAACCAGCGAUGGUGAGCGAAUCCCACAAAGUACGUCGUAGUCCGGAUCGGAGUCUGCAACUCGACUCCGUGAAGUCGGAAUCGCUAGUAAUCGUGAAUCAGAAUGUCACGGUGAAUACGUUCCCGGGCCUUGUACACACCGCCCGUCACACCAUGGGAGUGGGCUG
rnacentral:rRNA from 1 species